rnacentral:rRNA from 1 species
GAUGAACGCUAGCGGCAGGCUUAAUACAUGCAAGUCGAGGGGCAGCGCAGUGUAGCAAUACAUGGGCGGCGACCGGCAAACGGGUGCGGAACACGUACGCAACCUUCCUUUAAGUGGGGGAUAGCCCAGGGAAACUUGGAUUAAUACCCCGUAAUAUUAUGAAGUGGCAUCACUUUAUACUUAUAGCUCCGGCGCUUAAAGAUGGGCGUGCGACUGAUUAGGUAGUUGGCGGGGUAACGGCACACCAAGCCUGCGAUCAGUAACUGGUGUGAGGGCACGACCAGUCACACGGGCACUGAGCCACGGGCCCGACUCCUACGGGAGGCAGCAGUAAGGAAUAUUGGUCAAUGGACGCAAGUCUGAACCAGCCAUGCCGCGUGGAGGAUGAAGGUCCUCUGGAUUGUAAACUUCUUUUAUUUGGGAAGAAACCCACUGUUUCUACGGUGGUUGACGGUACCAGAUGAAUAAGCACCGGCUAACUCCGUGCCAGCAGCCGCGGUAAAAC